GGCCGGUGUAACACCUGGAUUUCUACCAAGAUGUUGGCAGGAAUCAGUGUAAUACCUGGAUGUGUGUGCAGUAGAGGUGAUGGCAGCUUGAACGACAGUGGGCGCGUCUUC